UACGAAGGGGGCUAGCGUUGCUCGGAAUCACUGGGCGUAAAGCGCACGUAGGCGGACUCUUAAGUCGGUGGUGAAAUCCUGGAGCUCAACUCCAGAACUGCCUUCGAUACUGGGAGUCUCGAGUCCGAGAGAGGUGAGUGGAACUGCGAGUGUAGAGGUGAAAUUCGUAGAUAUUCGCAAGAACACCAGUGGCGAAGGCGGCUCACUGGCCUCGUACGUGACGCU
rnacentral:rRNA from 1 species